GUAGGGUGCGAGCGUUAAUCGGAAUUACUGGGCGUAAASCGUGCGCAGGCCGGUGGUGCAAGACAGAUGUGAAAUCCCCGGGCUUACCCUGGGAACUGCAUUUGUGACUGCACGGCUAGAGUGCGGCAGAGGGGAGUGGAAUUCCGCGUGUAGCAGUGAAAUGCGUAGAUAUGCGGAGGAACACCGAUGGCGAAGGCDGCUCCCUGGKCCUGCACUGACGCUCAUGCACGAAAGCGUGGGGAGCAAACAGGAUUAGAUACCCUGGUAGUCCACGCCCUAAACGAUGUCAACUGGUUGUUGGUCCUUCACUGGAUCAGUAACGUACKAACGCGUGAAGUUGACCGCC
rnacentral:rRNA from 1 species